rnacentral:rRNA from 1 species
GAUCAACGCUGGCGGCGCACAUAAGACAUGCAAGUUGAACGGACUUAAUCGAAAUAUUUAUAUUUUGAAGCGGUUAGUGGCGGACUGGUGAGUAACGCGUAAGGAACCUGCCUAUUAGAGGGGAAUAACAGUGAGAAAUCAUUGCUAAUACCGCAUAUGCCAUAGAUAUCACAUGAUAACAGUGGGAAAGGAGCAAUCCGCUAAUAGAUGGCCUUGCGUCUGAUUAGAUAGUUGGUGGGGUAACGGCCUACCAAGUCGACGAUCAGUAGCCGGACUGAGAGGUUGAACGGCCACAUUGGGACUGAGAUACGGCCCAGACUCCUACGGGAGGGAGCAGUCGGGAAUAUUGCGCAAGGGAGGAAACUCUGACGCAGUGACGCCGCGUAUAGGAAGAAGGUUUUCGGAUUGUAAACUAUUGUCGUUAGGGAAGAGAAAGGACAGUACCUAAGGAGGAAGCUCCGGCUAACUACGUG